rnacentral:rRNA from 1 species
GUAGGGAUCUUCCACAAUGGACGAAAGUCUGAUGGAGCAACGCCGCGUGAGUGAAGAAGGUUUUCGGAUCGUAAAACUCUGUUGUUGGAGAAGAACGUAUUUGAUAGUAACUGAUCAGGUAGUGACGGUAUCCAACCAGAAAGCCACGGCUAACUACGUGCCAGCAGCCGCGGUAAUACGUAGGUGGCAAGCGUUGUCCGGAUUUAUUGGGCGUAAAGCGAGCGCAGGCGGUUUCUUAAGUCUGAUGUGAAAGCCUUCGGCUCAACCGAAGAAGUGCAUCGGAAACUGGGAAACUUGAGUGCAGAAGAGGACAGUGGAACUCCAUGUGUAGCGGUGAAAUGCGUAGAUAUAUGGAAGAACACCAGUGGCGAAGGCGGCUGUCUGGUCUGUAACUGACGCUGAGGCUCGAAAGCAUGGGUAGCAAACAGGAUUAGAUACCCUGGUAGUCCAUGCCGUAAACGAUGAGUGCUAGGUGUUGGAGGGUUUCCGCCCUUCAGUGCCGCAGCUAACGCAUUAAGCACUCCGCCUGGGGAGUACGACCGCAAGGUUGAAACUCAAAGGAAUUGACGGGCC